rnacentral:rRNA from 1 species
GCUUAGCCUUAAACCCAAAUAAUUCUCCAACAAAACUAUUCGCCAGAGAACUACUAGCAAUCGCUUAAAACUCAAAGGACUUGGCGGUGCCUUAAAUCCAUCUAGAGGAGCCUGUUCUAUAACCGAUAAACCCCGAUAAACCUUACCUCUUCUUGCCAAUACAGCCUAUAUACCGCCAUCGUCAGCUCACCCUAACAAGGAAUUAAAGUAAGCGAGACAAUCCAUCAUAAAAACGUUAGGUCAAGGUGUAGCAUAUGAAGGGGAAAGUAAUGGGCUACAUUUUCUAUCCUAGAACAUAACGAAUAUACCUAAUGAAACCCGAGGUAUUGAAGGAGGAUUUAGCAGUAAAUUAAGAAUAGAGAGCUUAAUUGAAUUUGGCAAUAAGGCGCGC